UACGUAGGGCGCAAGCGUUGUCCGGAAUUAUUGGGCGUAAAGAGCUCGUAGGCGGCCUGUUGCGUCCGCUGUGAAAUCCCGGGGCUCAACCCCGGGCGUGCAGUGGAUACGGGCUGGCUGGAGGCAGGCAGGGGAGAACGGAAUUCCUGGUGUAGCGGUGAAAUGCGCAGAUAUCAGGAGGAACACCGGUGACGAAGGCGGUUCUCUGGGCCUGUACUGACGCUGAGGAGCGAAAGCGUGGGGAGCGAACAGG
rnacentral:rRNA from 1 species